rnacentral:lncRNA from 1 species
UAAUAGAAUAUUAAUAAUACUCUAAUAGGACCAUAAUAAUGCUAAACAAGCUUAAUCAAAUUCAAAAAGAAUCUCAAAGAAAUUUGAAACAAACAAUAAGAAUUCUUAAAGAAAUAUUAGAAAGAUUACAAAUAUCACUCAAAUACAUUUCAAUUCAAUCUUAAUUUAAUUCUAGUUAAAAUUCUAUUGAACUUUAUUCAAACUUUAAGCCAAAACUAAUUGAAUCUUAAAUCCUAAUAAAAUCCUAAAUCCUAAAUCAAAUCCUAAACAAAAUUUAAACCCUAAAUAAAUCCUAAUCAAACCCUAAACCAAAUCCUAAACUCUAAAUCAAACCCUAACCAGAUCCUAAUCCAAAUCUUAAACUCUAAAUCAAAUCCUAAUCCAAAUCCUAAAUCCUAAAUCAAAUCCUAACCAAACCUUAAAUCCAAAAUAAAAUCUUAACCAAAUCCUAAACCAAAUCCUAAUCCAAAUUCUAAAUCCUAAAUCAAAUCCUAAUCCUUAAAUCAAAUCCUAAUCAAAUCCUAAAUCCUAAAUCAAAUCUUCACCAAAUCUUAAAUCCUAAAUAAAACCUUAACCAAACCCUAGAGAAAAUCCUAACCAAAUCCUAAAUCUUAAAUAAAACAUUAACCAAAUCCUAAACCAAAUCCUAAUUCAAAUCCUAACCAAAUUCUAAAUCCUAAAUCAAAUCCUAAUUCAAAUCCUAAAUCCUAAACCAAAUCUUAAUAAUUCUUACAAUAGAUUUAAACUUCAAUAACUAAUGAAUAAAUCGUUGAUCUUAACUCAAAUUUUGCAUAUUUUUAAAAAAUUAAUUAAAAACAAACACAAAAAAAUUGAAAAUGAUUGAAGUUAUCAAAUUGACGAUAACUUCAAAAAUGUGCUCGGAUAUUGGCCGGCCUCCUUCUCCAAUCUUGAUGCUAAUCUUCCAAAGCCAAUAUCUCUCUUUUGCAUCAUUCGAUUGAUCUGAAAAUUCUCAUACACAUUGAAAAACAAGUCUUAUAUCCUUUCGCACAAGUUUCACUCCAAUCCAACUAGUAAAUUGUAAGAAAUCUUAAAAACUCCCACUAGACCUAAAAUUCUACUUUCUAAAACCUUGACCCAC